rnacentral:tRNA from 1 species
GGGGGUAUAACUCAGUUGGUAGAGUGGCUGCUUUGCAAGCAGCAUGUCGCCGGUUCGAAUCCGACUACCUCCACCA